ensembl:lncRNA
AGUGAAAGUGCUGUUCUUCGUUUAUUACACUGCAGGAUACCAUAGGCUUACGCAUGGUUACAGGUCGGUCAUUAGAAGAGGAUUAACAGAGUAAACAUCCCGAAGAUGAUACAUUAACGUGAGACAGCGUGUCAACACCACGAUGUAUAGGUCACAGAGAGGGAGAACAGGGCGGCGACCACACCCCUUGACCCCACAUGACAUCAUCAUAGCCGAUCAUUACAGUACACACAUAAACAAGGUAUCCUUUGAAUGUACUAGAUUCAAAAUUACACACUAAGUACUAAAUAAUCUUUUAUGUUGUGGCUAUUUUUUGAUGACACUAAAAUGCAAGCAUAUAUUCUAAAUGAUUCAUUUAAUUCUUUCAGUGUUGUUUUCUACACUAAAUAUCAUUGUUUGUUUCUUUGUCUCUUCCCUGCAAAUGAUAAUCCGCUGAUUGACAGAUUUAAUUUUCACCUGACAUAUAUAUGCAUGUGAAACGGAAGGGAGCCCGGAUUUUGAUUUCGUCCAGUUCACCUUUGUAAAAAAUGCUGUUGUUAAACAGGUCCCGCAUUGUAAUGGCCAACAAGGCAUCAUCCUCAUUCAUCUUUAUGACCUGUGGUAAGUGAACUUUCCCAGAAAAGUGGGGUCUGUUCACCCACUCACAGGCAAGCAGAAUCUGUUUCAUCGCCGCCAAGCCCUUUAUGCAAAAAGGUAAGACAUUUCAAUAAUAAUGUAAUUAGUCAAGUGCUGCUCAAACACUUUUAUAAAACAGGAAAGGUACUUACAUAAACAAACAAUAGUCAAACAAUACAUAAACAUUCCCUGUACAUACAUGGAUUCUCUGUGUUGGGGUGACCUCCAUGAUGUCUGGCACAGAUGGAGUGACCUCCAUGAUGUAUAAUACAGACGGGGUGACCUCCAUAAGGUUUAGCUACUGUAGUUGGAUCGUUUGUUUGGUGACUGACUGUUGGACUUGAUUUUGAAGAAAAAGUGUCAAAACAGUAAAAAAAAUAUAAUAAAUAAUAAAAUAAAAAAAAUUACAGUGUGCAUUAUUUUUUAUUUAUUACAAAUGACCUGUAUACAGGGAAUGUACAUAAUGGGUAUCUUCAUCCAAAGUAUAAUUAUCAUUAUCAUACCUUCCCAGAGGAAAUGCCUGUAGUAACUGAUGGCACCACCACCUCCUGAUUACAGGCAUGUCAGACUGAUAAAAUAUGACAACUGCAAAUCUUAAUCAUAAAAUUUUAACUAUGUUUUCAGUCCUUUUUUUGAACAAAUAACCAUAACUUGAUAAAAACUCACUUCUGAAAAAUCAAAGGGCUUUGGAAGGGUCACAUACAGGGCAUACUGAAAUACAAACUCAAAACUCUGAUGUUAUAUUAACAUGUUAAAUGAAGUGGUGCACCCUGUUAAUUAAGAGUGGAAUAAGACCAUAUACUGUACAUACAGUAUGUAGUGUACUGUGAAUGUAUUAUUUGAUGACAGUCCACUGCUGAUAAUAAUGGUUUACAUGCAAAAAUGUUGUACCUCACAGUCUCUCAGUAAGGACAUUGGCCAGGUGAAAUUUGAUUUGUCACGUUUCUAUAAUAAAACAAUAAUGCAAUACAUUUAAUUACUAUACAAUAUAUCUUCUGGAGCAGUCACAUGUAAGCAGAAAACAAAGUUUAUCAUAUUGUAUUUAUCACGUAAUUCAAGUAAUGGAGGUUAGGACAGAUGCAAGUGCAGAUAAGAGCUUUUAUAUAAAGAGAGGCAGACCGACAAAUCCAAAUGAUGAGACUAUAGUGUGCUCAAAAAACAGGCAAUGGUUCAGGCAAUUGGCAAACAGGCAUAAACUAAGCAAGGCAAAAGCAUGUAACGAGAAACAAGAAACAAGAUCAAAGACCAUGAAACAAAAUGAGGAACAAGGUACAAAUGCUUGGUAUGGUGACAACACUUAAUACUUCGCAACAUACAAGAUAUACGAG